AUGCAUGCCAUUAUAUAUUUCUCCCAUUUUGAUAAGAUCUUCUCCUCUGGAUAUAAUUAUCUCUGUUCCAAGAAAUAGAAGACAACACUAAUGGAUGCGAGGUAUGCUUGUGGCUUCUUAUUCAGCAUAACUGGAUCCCAUCCACGCAAGUUUAAAGAGGUUCCUUCCAUUAUCAUAAGUUAUCAUCUACCUCCCUGUUUUGUAGCAUAGUUCCUGGAUCAUGAUGAGCAAAAUAUUAGAGUGCGGAAAUUUAUGCCAUCUUUAGCCAUUACAAAACUAGGAAGCUAUUCCUCAGCAAAGUACUCCAAUAUAUAAAGGAAAGGCUUCUGGAUGCGAAGUAUGCAUGUGGCUUCUUAUUCAACAUAACUGGAUCCCAUCCACUUGAGUUUAUAGAGGACAAGCAUAACCUAAUGGAAGUUGUUCAAAUGUGUCACUGACUAAAGGCACUCCAACUUUCUAUGCAACGUGAUGUGAACUCGUCCUCCACUUAUCUAGAAAAUAUUCUCACAUAUUUGCUCCUUGCACUUUCACAUCAUCCUUCAUGUCCUAAUGUUGAUGAAUGCAAGGAGGUUCAAGCAUUUGAAUCAAUUUACUGAUGUGAAGGUGGGCAAUCAGGAGUUUCCCAAAAAGGGAAAAGGAAAGUCUUUCUACAAUACUAUCUUCCAAAAUAUAAUGGGAAAGGAUUUAUGAAGGUGUUGUGCAAUCUUAUAACCCAGGAAAGAAGAAACACGUGAUACUAUAUGACGAUGGAGAUGUGGAAGUUCUCCAGUUAGAUAAGGAGAAGUGGGAUGUUAUUAGUGAAGGUUCCGAGCCUAGCAAGUGACUUAAAUCAUCGAAUGUUUCCCCAUCCAAAGGAAUGAGUUCAUACUCGCAACAUUUUGGACAUGCUGCUUCACUGCUCCUGCACCCAAAUCCACCACUGCUUUCUCUUCCACUUUAUGCAACUAACUGGUGCCAAGUCCGUUGUCAUUGUAGUGGGCGGAAUGAUGUGAUUUCAUACCCCAACUGACCUAUGUGAAUAGUUUGGUUUCUGAGCAAUGAGAUGACUACCGGUGAUGGUAGGAUUAUGAAUCUUACUCAACUCGCAGAUGCCAAUUGACUGGUGUGUGCUUGUUCUGGGUUGUUCAUCUGCUGGGACCCAUGGUCCCCAUGUAUGUGUCAUGGCCCAAUGGCUAGGUCAGAGUGCUCAUCUGGUAGGCCAACGGAUUAAAUAAUUGACACUUACAAUCAUUAUCUGGCAUAUGUGUGUCACACCUAAUGGCCUGGUGAGCCAUUUUAUCUGUUCACACCAGUUUCAAGGUGGGGGUCCACCCGAUGAAUGGCCUGAUGUACAGGUGGCAAAUUGGCAUAUGUUGGGGACUAGGAAUAAAAAAUCCAGUCUUACAAGUAGCCAUACCAGGCAGGGUACUUGGUUUCGAGAAUGCAAUUUCCAUUAUACAUCUUGUACAUUGUUGUUGCUACAGGUCAGCCAAGGAGGAAAAAAGUAGGAUACCUGGUGCCUCAAGACGAAAUAAGAAUCCUUAUAAGAAAUUCAGGAGGAAAACGACUAUUAAGAAAAAUGUAAAGAAUAGCCAUAGUGGAAUGUCAGAAAGCAACAUUGGUGCUAAUGCCAACAAUUACGCCGAAGGAAGAGCUACCCCUGAAUUAUCAGAUUCUCACCCCGACACUUGUCCUGAAGUCAAUGAAGUUAAUUCAGAUGAUUUUGCAAAUGAACAAGCAUCUCCUUUAGCAGCCGCAAAGGAGGAGGAACGAGAGGCCUCAUCAGACCUGGAAGAAUCAGACAGAAGAGAAAAUGGAUUCUUCUGACAGAGGAGCUGCAGGAGAUUUGGAUGAUGAACCUCUUUUAAUCUCUCUUUGCCUUCUCAUCUUUGGACUAGAUUGCUUAGCAUCUUACUAGUUAUUCUCCCUCAUUUUGUUAUGUUUCUUCCAAUGCAGAGUAUGUGGAAGGUACCAGGAGCAAAAGUAGCCUAGAGCUUGGAGACUGGCCUUCUCUUUGAAAACUCAAAUGUUGGAUUUGGCUUUGUUGCCAUUGUCCCAACCAUGGUCUGUCGAUCUGAGUUGCUGAAGGAAGACAGACGUUUUCGUACCUACAAUAGAUGUUGCUAAUAAACUAUAGUAACACAAAUGCUGCGAGAAGGGCCAUGUAUAUAUAAUUUCCAUGGUUAUUGUAUGUAGCAUGUGUUUGUAGCCGUCUUGUGUAGAGAAGUUUAACCACUCAUCUUGGAUAGGUCAUAGCCAAAAAAUUACACAUCCAACAAUCCUAACCAUCUGAUUUGUUCCUUCAAAUGGACUGUUGAAAGGAAUCAUCUUGUGUGCGA